rnacentral:rRNA from 1 species
GACGAACGCUGGCGGCGUGCUUAACACAUGCAAGUCGAACGGAAAGGCCCUGCUUUUGUGGGGUGCUCGAUUGGCGAACGGGUGAGUAACACGUGAGUAACCUGCCCUUGACUGUGGGAUAACUUCAGGAAACUGGGGCUAAUACCGGAUAGAAGCUCCUGCUGCAUGGGGGUGGUUGGAAAGUUUCGGCGGUUGGGGAUGGACUCGCGGCUUAUCAGCUUGUUGGUGGGGUAGUGGCUUACCAAGGCUUUGACGGGUAGCCGGCAUGAGAGGGUGACCGGCCACAUUGGGACUGAGAUACGGACCAGACUCCUACGGGAGGCAGCAGUGGGGAAUAUUGCACAAUGGGCGGAAGCCUGAUGCAGCAACGCCGCGUGCGGGAUGACGGCCUUCGGGUUGUAAACCGCUUUCGCCUGUGACGAAGCGUGAGUGACGGUAAUGGGUAAAGAAGCACCGGCUAACUACGUG